rnacentral:lncRNA from 1 species
GAGGGGGGCUGUGACUGCGACUACGCGACCGGAGGCGGCGGAUACCUGGUGGCGGCAAAUGGUGGUGGUGACGACGACAGGGCAGCGACGGCAGUCCCUCGACUCUCAGAUCCGGUGUGGCGUUGGUGGGUCAGUCGCGGCACGGCGUCGGGUAGCGUCUACGGCAGCUCCUUUCUCCCUGAAUCCGACCUUCCCUCCUCCGAUUCCUCUCACUCAGGCCAGAUCCGAGCCUCCAACGGCCGGAUCUGACCCUCUCGAAGUUGUUCGCCGCCGGCCUUCCCCGAAGUCUCUCGGUGGAGGGUGGGCUGAGCUCACAACUCGAGCUCUCUCUCGCUCGCUCGUCGAUUCCUCCCCCGAAGUCUCUCAGUGGGAAGAUCUCCAAG